GUCGCCAUGUGAUUCCAAUGUCUGGAUUCAAAAUAUUAAACAAUCCUUGCUUUAAAGUUUUUGCACAAUUGGAUGAAAAAUAACUUCUGGAUCAAGAAGUGUUUCAUCGGAAUUUAUUUAGAGGGCAAUAUUUUGGAUAAGUUACUGAACUAAAGGAUCCAAAAGGAAUAAAGAUUUGGAAAAAGUGAUUCAACCAAGUUUUGAAAAAUUUGACCAUAAUUUCUCUUCUGAAAAAGUUUAUUUGUAAUUAUGUUGUUAUUUAACUUGUAAUUAGUGUAAAAUAAACCUUUUUGAUGUUUUAACUUCUUUGUUUUCAUUGUUGACACUUCUGGAUAUUGUCUCUUCUUAUUUCUUAUGUAGACAUGCUCACAUAUUUUUUUGGUAAUAAUUUUUGAGCUAAAAUUCUUUCUCUCGAUAAAAUUGU